UCUUCAACUACAGGCUGCUACUGUUGCUAAUAUGCAACUCUGUUAUGUCAAAAUUGGAAUUGCACUUUAGCAAUGGUGAUGGACUGUAAGACACAC
rnacentral:pre_miRNA from 1 species